AUGUCAGAGGAGAAUUUGAAGAUGCAUUUAAGAGUCCUACUGAGUUAACUUUAAGUUAAUCCGGAGAAAGACUAUUCUGGAUGAGCCUGACUUAAUCAGAUGAGCGCUUUAAGUUAUGUUAGUGAAAUUCGAAACUAGACAGACUCGCUGGUCAUCCUUGAAGAUGUGACACUCUCUUGAGUUCUAAAGCUAGAAGGAGGUAUAUUCUCCCACCAAUAGUGACUGAUACAGACUUUGAAUCUCACAAAACUCAGCUUUGACUGUCAUCAUGAGUCAGAUUCAUGUAAACCGGAGCUGAAGAACCAGCCGGGCCUUGCCUGGAUGUCUGACUUACAGAAACUUGCAUGAACAAUGGUGUUGCGGCCAACGCUGAUCAUGUGGCCCAUGGAGUAAUUUAGUGGAAACUGCCAGGCCACCUUCCCCUCCCCCAACUGCGCGAUGCAACGGUGCAAUUCAGUCUCCUCAGAACCAGACGUCCUCUCUCACGGGAGGAUUCCAGCCAUCUCCGACCUGCGUGGCUUAUCACCGCAGAGCACACUGCAGAUGUCCUCCAGACCACCAUCAAGUGCCAGGCUCAGCACGUUACUAAAGCCACAAGCAUCCCAGCAGGACACCCACUUUAUUAGGAAGACACUGCUAUGCUGCGGAAGGUGCCAGAAAGAAUUAUAACGCUGGGGCUUCUGAGAAAGUGGAUAAGUGGCCUGGCUGGAGAGUGCCGAGCAUCCUCAGGGCGGAGAGCCUCCAACCAGCUCUUAGUUCAGUCCACUAGCCAAAGGCCAACUCAGUAGCAAGCAGCAGCAGUCUAGUCCACAUGGCAAUCACCACUCACAAAUCAGCCAUGGCAGCUCAAUCCAGAAGAAACCACAAGGCUCCACCAAUUGACCCAAGUCUACAGACACAGCAAGAAGCAGCCAGACCACCACCAGGAGUUCUUUGGUGCAUUUCUCUCUACGAAGUCACAAAGAUCAGUGAAUUACACAAGGUGAACUAAUGCCAGAGCAUCACCCACUGUCUGUAAGGUUAUACUUACACUCUUUCCAAAUAUCACAUGUCCUCUCAACCAUCCACCCCAGCAAACAUCAUCAGGUGCUCUUUUACCAGGCAGCUUCCAGAGAAACAUGUGACUGUUCUCAGCCAAACAGCCUCUCAUAAGACAGUCUCCAGAAAAAUAUCACAUGACACAACUGGGUCUCCAACAAAACCAGAAAUUCCCACAGUAGGUACAUCAUUGGAAAAUGCUGAAAUCCAAUACAAGAAGUAGGGCUGGUGGAUAGCCAACACCUGCCACACCUUUGACCCAUCGGGGCUUUCAUUUGAAGGUCAUCUUUCCCCGAGUCUGAUCCAAGCAGGAAGGAUGUGGGAGCCAGGCCACUCCCACUCAGUGUGAGGAACCCGUGUUGGCCAUUUGUGCAGAGGCUUCCUGACAGCCUGGCCGAGACUUAGAGCUGCUGUGCAGACAAGUCCUGCUUCCAACACAUCCUUCUCUCCUUUUAGUACGCCACAGUGUUACAUCACUGUUUCCUCGAUGUCUUGAGUCUCUCCUCCAGUCAGUUUUGCGCACGCAGAGUUCCAUCUUGAUGUCCUCUUCUCCAAGGGACCUGUCUUAAGGAUUCAUGUCUCUGGGGACGAGAGAGAUGACUCGGCAGUUAAGAACACGUACGGCUUUUGUAGAGGACCUGGGUUUUAUUCCCAGCACCCCUAACUCCAAUCCCGAGAAAUCUGACAUGCUCUUCUGCACAAAUAAAUGUAACUAGAUACCAGUCCCAAUAGUUCAAGUUUUCCUUUUACCCAUGUUCCAUAGCACAUACAUUUUUCAUGCACUUGUUGGAAAUAAUAGCCCUUUCAGAGUUUGGGAAUGUUUGUUUUCCCUGAGGUGCCAGCAGGGGUUUAAGUCCUUUUUAGCAAGCGAUGCAGGGAAGUUGUGCUGGAGUGGAGGCACAGCCAAGGCGAGCAUGCCGUUUGCAGCUGCUUCCCGCUCACAACAGAGUGAAGCAGUUGCAAGAAAUAUUUGCCAAGCCCUCUUCCGGAUGCUCUUCCAGUUUUGCAGACCUUGUGGGCUUCCUUGGAAGGCUUCAUGUUCCAUUGUAGUGGCUUCCAUAGCUCUAACAUUCUCCUGUCCCAUGUUUGCUCAGCUGAAAAGGCCCUUCCAAUGCUCUAAACACACCCUGUUAAGCAGAGAAGUAAAGAUGCGAGCAAAAAAUAUCCACUCAGGUGAUUUCCCUUCUUGCUGUUAGGCUCCAAGUCUAGCUGUAAAUCAGAAUCCUCAGUUCCCACUGUUAAAGCUGAAAAACAGUUCCCAAAGACACCCUGUCCUGUUCUGUGAAACCCAUAAUGAUACCUUUCGUGAGAAAGUCUUUGCAGGGGUCAUUGUGCAAAGGAUCUCGGGAAGUGAAGACAAUACUAUACUGGGUUGCCUGGGUAUGCCCUGAACGUUGUCCCAUGUCCUUAAAAAAUUGAGGCAGAGGAAGAUCCAACAGGCCACAGGGCAGAGAUUGGAGUGGUGCCCCCAUUAGCAAGAACAUUAUCAGGCUCCAGUGGAAGAGGGCAGUGAGCAAACUCUAUCCUUGAGGAGGGGGGAAGAGCAGACCUGAAGCUUCCAGAUCCCCUGCCUCUACUGGAGACUGCAUCCUACUACCUUACAUUUGAAAGAGCUUUCUCCUCUCCUUCCCCUUUUCUCUCUCCCUCCUUUCCCCUUCCCUCCCAUCCUCAUCCUUCUUUCCCCACUUCCUCUCUCUCCAAAGCAAGCCAGACUGUACGGAACAAGCCUUUCCAAACCUCUGCUGGUUCUCCUGCUUCUGUCUCCUGGUACCAAUGUCUGGGGUAUGAGCUGUACCUCAGGUCACCCCAGUAAAGGAAAUAUCCCUGGAUGCAGCCUGUUCUCAGAGCUACCAAUAUAAUCCAGCAAGGAUUUCCUCUUCGUAUCUUCUUUUACCUUAAGUGACAAGUUCCAUUCGUGGCAGUCAAUCAACAUGCUAAUUAUUAGGUAGCCUGUUGCCAGCCAUGAGAGGUGCCAUCCAAUAGUGUCUCCAGCGAAGGACGACCACUCUGUGCUUCGAGCGUACAU